GGCUGUGUCUGUGCUGAGCGAGCCGGGGGUCAUUUCUUGCCGUUAUAUUUGGCGUUCCAGGACCCGGCUCUGGCUGCAUGGUCUUUUAUUUCUCUCUCUAUUUUCUUUUUUGUGAGGGUUUCGAGCUCUCUUCUUUUUCGAGAGUGGUGGGUCUUGAUCCGAGUCGUCCCUUCCGAUCUCCGACACGUUAAUCUCUCCUUCUCUUCCCGUCCUCCUAUCGUUCUCCGCCUUUCGUGCGGUGGCCUCGACCUCGAUCCCAAUCUAUGAAGCACCGGAGCUGGAGGAAAGAAGGAUUCGGAACGAUCCCAGGUGCCUCCAGCUCUGCAGUUUGAAAUCCCGGGAUUUGUUGCUGAAUUCCGCCUCCUGUGGUCUGGAUUGGAGGUUUGGAUUCUGGUGGUCCAAUGGUGGGGAAGGGAGGAGGCUUGGAUUGGAUUGGAGCGGUGCGAAGAUCUAGGGUUUGCCUGCUGUGAUUGCUAGGAUCGAAGUUUGUAUUUUCUUACGGGAUUAAGGAAUUUAGGGUUCGUUUAUUGCACCUCUUCUCGUUCUUGGUGUAUGAGAGAGAUUGGGAGUAGUGAGAAUGGAUGCGGAAGUGGAAAGGGACGUUACCGCCCUCGACCCGGAUCUGCUGCAGCUGGCGGAGAUAUCUCCGUUGGCGUUGAAACAGAACCCGGAGAUUGCACAAGAGCUUUACUCGCAGUGGCUUACGCUACCGGAAACUUCCAAAAUGGUGAAGUCAUUAAUUGAAGAUGCAAAAGCUGGUGCCCCUCUGAAUGUUCCUGGCAGCUCUAGUAGCACAAAUGCUGUGGCAGGCAACCCAUUGCCUUCCAUGUUCGCUGCUGGCAGUGCACCUCCUCUUUCACCUAGAAGCACUUCUGGAUCUCCUCGUGUUGCAAAACGUGGUACAGGGACUGGAGUUUCAUCCUUUGGAUCUCCACUAAAAUUAGUUAGCGGGCCAGUGAGAGAAAUCAUACCUCAAUUCUAUUUCAAAAAUGGGCGUCCACCUCCUGAAGAACUUAAAGAGCAAUGCGUAUCUAGAAUUGAUCAUAUUUUCUUUGGCCACAUGGAUGGACUACAAAUUCAUGAAUUUAAAUCCGUCACAAAGGACAUCUGCAAGCUACCAUCAUUCUUUUCCACUGCUCUUUUUAGAAAAAUCGAUGUUGAUUGGACUGGAACUGUAACAAGGGAUGCAUUUGUUGAUUAUUGGGUCAAUAGCAACAUGAUGACAACAGAUAUAACCACCCAGAUAUUUAACAUUCUGAAGCAACCUGAUUGCAAGUACCUCACUCAGGAGGACUUUAAACCUGUCCUUCAAGAACUUUUGGCGACGCAUCCCGGUUUGGAAUUCUUACAGGGCACACCUGAAUUUCAGGAAAGAUAUGCGGAAACUGUUAUAUACAGAAUUUUUUACUAUGUGAAUAGAUCUGGAAAUGGCCAACUUACCCUUAGAGAACUGAAACGUGGAAAUUUAAUUGCUGCAAUGCAGCAUGCUGAUGAGGAGGAAGAUAUUAACAAAGUUUUGAGGUACUUCUCAUAUGAGCACUUCUAUGUAAUAUACUGCAAGUUUUGGGAGCUCGAUACAGAUCAUGAUUUCUUGAUUGACAAAGAGAACCUUAUCAGAUAUGGAAACCAUGCACUGACAUAUAGAAUUGUUGAUAAAAUAUUUUCACAGUUACCGAGGAAAUUUACAAGUAAGGUUGAAGGAAAAAUGGGUUAUGAAGAUUUUGUUUAUUUUAUCCUGGCCGAGGAAGAUAAAUCAUCUGAGCCAAGUCUUGAGUAUUGGUUCAAGUGUAUAGAUUUGGAUGGAAAUGGAAUUCUGACUCCCAACGAAAUGCAAUUCUUUUAUGAGGAGCAGUUGCAUCGUAUGGAAUGCAUGGCACAGGAACCUGUACUCUUUGAGGACAUUUUAUGUCAGAUGAUCGAUAUGAUUGCACCAGAGAAUGAGAGCUUUUUUUCUCUACGAGACUUAAAAGGCAAUAAACUUUCGGGAAAUGUUUUUAACAUCCUUUUCAAUCUUAACAAAUUCAUGGCAUUUGAAACGCGUGAUCCAUUUCUUAUUCGUCAAGAACGUGAAGAGCCAACUUUGACUGAGUGGGAUCGUUUUGCACACAGAGAAUAUAUUAGGCUCUCAAUGGAAGAAGAUGCUGAAGAUGCCUCUAAUGGAAGUGGAGAUGUUUGGGAUGAAUCACUUGAGGCUCCAUUCUGAAGUCAAACUAAGGCCUGCCUUGUCAGACCAAGGUCCGUUCUGUAUAAAUUGCAGGAAUAUAUCUGCAUGACUAGCAUGAAAUCGACAUUGUCUCUGUAGCUUUCUUCUAAAAGUACCUGAAAGAAAUGCUUUGGUCCUGCGGAUGCUUGCUCAAAGCUGGCCAAGAAACGGCUAGAUAAAUUGUACGGCAUGCCUCUUUGAAGGAUCUUGACAGCCACAUCCGUCCUUACCGAUGAUUAAUUACAACUUUCACAACAUUGUUCUGAUUCCAAAUCGUAUAUUUUUUCCCAUGUGCAAAAUUUUUGCUUCUCAGGCAAGUGAAAGCAAAGUGGCAUUCUGGAGCAGUUGGUCAACACAUCAGUUUUGCUGAAUGAGGCAUAAAAGGAGUGCAGUCACUGAUCCCUUGAUUUAUUCGAAUUAUCCCAGCCAGGUACCAUGAGUUUAAGGAUUACUGGCCUUCUAAUCGGAAGAAAAUCAAAUUAUGUUUAGUUGCUGGUUUCUUUCUUUUCUUUCCCUCUGCUACAGUUUGUGGAAGCACAAGAAGGCAAUUAACUCUUCAGUUUGUUCCUGGCAUGUGUUUUCCCCGGGGAAUGUGGUGGCUUAUUGUAACGUGUUUCUCACUUAUGAAAAUUUAUAUGAUGAAAAAAGAUGGAAACACUUUUAUCACCUAUACUUGUUGAUUUAUUUGUUCUAUUAGAAUUGUUAAGUGUCUAAAAAUUAUUGGAAUUUAACAUAGGCAUUAUACAUUUCAGAAGUUGGCCGGAUUUUUUUUUAAAAAAAA